ACGGGGGGUGCAAGCGUUGUUCGGAAUUAUUGGGCGUAAAGAGCGUGUAGGCGGCGGGAUAAGUCAGAUGUGAAAGCCCUGGGCUAAACUCAGGAAGUGCAUUUGAAACUGUUUCGCUUGAGUACUGGAGAGGGAAGAGGAAUUCCUGGUGUAGAGGUAAAAUUCGUAGAUAUCACGAGGAACACCGUUGGCGAAGGCGACUUCCUGACCAGAUUCUGACGCUGAGACGCAAGAGCGUGUGGAGCAAACAG
rnacentral:rRNA from 1 species